GACAGAGGUGCCGAGCGUUAGGCGGAAUCACUGGGCUUAAAGCGUGUGUAGGCGGCCUUCUAAGUACCUUGUGAAAUCCCACGGCUCACCCGUGGAACUGCUGGGUAUACUGGUCGUCUUGAGCCUUCUAGGGGCUACCGGAACAAAUGGUGGAGCGGUGAAAUGCGUAGAUAUCAUUUGGAACGCCAAUGGUGAAAACAGGUAGCUGGGGAAGUGCUGACGCUGAGACACGAAAGCCAGGGGAGCGAACGGG
rnacentral:rRNA from 1 species